rnacentral:tRNA from 1 species
AUUUAUAUAAUAUAAUAAUUAUAUUUGACUUCCAAUCAAAAAAUCUGCUAUCAGUAUAAAUA